rnacentral:rRNA from 1 species
UACGGAGGAUGCGAGCGUUAUCCGGAUUUAUUGGGUUUAAAGGGUGCGUAGGCGGGAUGCCAAGUCAGCGGUAAAAAUGCGGUGCUCAACGCCGUCGAGCCGUUGAAACUGGCGUUCUUGAGUGGGCGAGAAGUAUGCGGAAUGCGUGGUGUAGCGGUGAAAUGCAUAGAUAUCACGCAGAACCCCGAUUGCGAAGGCAGCAUACCGGUGCACAACUGACGCUCAGGCACGAAAGCGUGGGUAUCGAACAGG